AGGAUGAACGCUGGCGGCGUGCCUAACACAUGCAAGUCGAACGUCCUGUCUCGCAAGAGGCAGGGAGUGGCGGACGGGUGAGUACCACGUGGGUCAUCUACCGUGAGGUGAGGAAUACCGGCGAGAAAUCGCCGACAAGACCGCAUAGGCUCGAUGCAAGUCGAGCAAAGCUCUUUCGAGAGAGGGAGCGCCACACGAGGAGCCUGCGCCCGAUUAGCUAGCUGGUGGAGUAACGGUUCACCAGGGCGACGAUCGGUAGCUGGUCUGAGAGGACGAUCAGCCACACUGGGAUUGAGAACGGCCCAGACUCCUACGGGGGCAGCAGUGAGGAAUUUUCGUCAAUGGGGGCAACCCUGAACGAGCAACGCCGCGUGCAGGAAGAAGGUUUUCGGAUCGUAAACUGCUUUUCGUCGGGAAGAGAAUGGACGGUACCCGAGGAAUCAGCCCCGGCUAACUACGUGCCAGCAGCCGCGGU
rnacentral:rRNA from 1 species